rnacentral:rRNA from 1 species
GGUUAAGCGACUAAGCGUACACGGUGGAUGCCCUGGCAGUCAGAGGCGAUGAAGGGCGUGCUAAUCUGCGAUAAGCGCCGGUAAGGUGAUAUGAACCGUUAUAACCGGCGAUACCCGAAUGGGGAAACCCAGUGUGACUCGUCACACUAUCAUUAACUGAAUCCAUAGGUUAAUGAGGCGAACCGGGGGAACUGAAACAUCUAAGUACCCCGAGGAAAAGAAAUCAACCGAGAUUCCCCCAGUAGCGGCGAGCGAACGGGGAGGAGCCCAGAGCCUGAAUCAGCAUGUGUGUUAGUGGAAGCGUCUGGAAAGGCGCGCGAUACAGGGUGACAGCCCCGUACACAAAAGCGCAUGUGCUGUGAGCUCGAUGAGUAGGGCGGGACACGUGGUAUCCUGUCUGAAUAUGGGGGGACCAUCCUCCAAGGCUAAAUACUCCUGACUGACCGAUAGUGAACCAGUACCGUGAGGGAAAGGCGAAAAGAACCCCGGCGAGGGGAGUGAAAAAGAACCUGAAACCGUGUACGUACAAGCAGUGGGAGCACCCUUUGGGGUGUGACUGCGUACCUUUUGUAUAAUGGGUCAGCGACUUAUAUUCUGUAGCAAGGUUAACCGUAUAGGGGAGCCGGAGGGAAACCGAGUCUUAACCGGGCGUUAAGUUGCAGGGUAUAGACCCGAAACCCGGUGAUCUAGCCAUGGGCAGGUUGAAGGUUGGGUAACACUAACUGGAGGACCGAACCGACUAAUGUUGAAAAAUUAGCGGAUGACCUGUGGCUGGGGGUGAAAGGCCAAUCAAACCGGGAGAUAGCUGGUUCUCCCCGAAAGCUAUUUAGGUAGCGCCUCGUGAACUCAUCUCCGGGGGUAGAGCACUGUUUCGGCUAGGGGGCCAUCCCGGCUUACCAACCCGAUGCAAACUGCGAAUACCGGAGAAUGUUAUCACGGGAGACACACGGCGGGUGCUAACGUCCGUCGUGAAGAGGGAAACAACCCAGACCGCCAGCUAAGGUCCCAAAGUCAUGGUUAAGUGGGAAACGAUGUGGGAAGGCCCAGACAGCCAGGAUGUUGGCUUAGAAGCAGCCAUCAUUUAAAGAAAGCGUAAUAGCUCACUGGUCGAGUCGGCCUGCGCGGAAGAUGUAACGGGGCUAAACCAUGCACCGAAGCUGCGGCAGCGACGCUGAUGCGUUGUUGGGUAGGGGAGCGUUCUGUAAGCCUGUGAAGGUGGCCUGUGAGGGUUGCUGGAGGUAUCAGAAGUGCGAAUGCUGACAUAAGUAACGAUAAAGCGGGUGAAAAGCCCGCUCGCCGGAAGACCAAGGGUUCCUGUCCAACGUUAAUCGGGGCAGGGUGAGUCGACCCCUAAGGCGAGGCCGAAAGGCGUAGUCGAUGGGAAACGGGUUAAUAUUCCCGUACUUGGUGUUACUGCGAAGGGGGGACGGAGAAGGCUAUGUUGGCCGGGCGACGGUUGUCCCGGUUUAAGCGUGUAGGUGUGUGUUCCAGGUAAAUCCGGUUCACUUUAACACUGAGGCGUGACGACGAGGCACUACGGUGCUGAAGCAACAAAUGCCCUGCUUCCAGGAAAAGCCUCUAAGCAUCAGGUAACAUCAAAUCGUACCCCAAACCGACACAGGUGGUCAGGUAGAGAAUACCAAGGCGCUUGAGAGAACUCGGGUGAAGGAACUAGGCAAAAUGGUGCCGUAACUUCGGGAGAAGGCACGCUGACAUGUAGGUGAAGUGAUUUACUCACGGAGCUGAAGUCAGUCGAAGAUACCAGCUGGCUGCAACUGUUUAUUAAAAACACAGCACUGUGCAAACACGAAAGUGGACGUAUACGGUGUGACGCCUGCCCGGUGCCGGAAGGUUAAUUGAUGGGGUCAGCGCAAGCGAAGCUCCUGAUCGAAGCCCCGGUAAACGGCGGCCGUAACUAUAACGGUCCUAAGGUAGCGAAAUUCCUUGUCGGGUAAGUUCCGACCUGCACGAAUGGCGUAAUGAUGGCCAGGCUGUCUCCACCCGAGACUCAGUGAAAUUGAACUCGCUGUGAAGAUGCAGUGUACCCGCGGCAAGACGGAAAGACCCCGUGAACCUUUACUAUAGCUUGACACUGAACAUUGAGCCUUGAUGUGUAGGAUAGGUGGGAGGCUUUGAAGUGUGGACGCCAGUCUGCAUGGAGCCGACCUUGAAAUACCACCCUUUAAUGUUUGAUGUUCUAACGUGGACCCGUAAUCCGGGUUGCGGACAGUGUCUGGUGGGUAGUUUGACUGGGGCGGUCUCCUCCUAAAGAGUAACGGAGGAGCACGAAGGUUGGCUAAUCCUGGUCGGACAUCAGGAGGUUAGUGCAAUGGCAUAAGCCAGCUUGACUGCGAGCGUGACGGCGCGAGCAGGUGCGAAAGCAGGUCAUAGUGAUCCGGUGGUUCUGAAUGGAAGGGCCAUCGCUCAACGGAUAAAAGGUACUCCGGGGAUAACAGGCUGAUACCGCCCAAGAGUUCAUAUCGACGGCGGUGUUUGGCACCUCGAUGUCGGCUCAUCACAUCCUGGGGCUGAAGUAGGUCCCAAGGGUAUGGCUGUUCGCCAUUUAAAGUGGUACGCGAGCUGGGUUUAGAACGUCGUGAGACAGUUCGGUCCCUAUCUGCCGUGGGCGCUGGAGAACUGAGGGGGGCUGCUCCUAGUACGAGAGGACCGGAGUGGACGCAUCACUGGUGUUCGGGUUGUCAUGCCAAUGGCACUGCCCGGUAGCUAAAUGCGGAAGAGAUAAGUGCUGAAAGCAUCUAAGCACGAAACUUGCCCCGAGAUGAGUUCUCCCUGAGACUUAGAGUCUCCUGAAGGAACGUUGAAGACGACGACGUUGAUAGGCCGGGUGUGUAAGCGCAGCGAUGCGUUGAGCUAACCGGUACUAAUGAACCGUGAGGCUUAACCUU